GGAAGUGUGGUGUAGUGGUUUGAAUGUUGGACUACAAGUCUGGAGACCAGGGUUUGAUUCCUGGCUCAACCA